GCAAACAAAGAUUCGCUUCGCAGGAGAGAUAGCGCCAUCGCCUAAGUUUAACUAGCGGUGACGGUAUCUCUCCUACGUAGCAAUCCUUAUAUAUGC
rnacentral:pre_miRNA from 1 species